rnacentral:tRNA from 1 species
GCUAGCGUAGCUUAAUAUAAAGCAUAGCAACUGAAGAUGCUAAGAUGAGUCUUAAAAACUCCGCAUGCA